UAACACGUAAGUAAUCUACCUUCGAGUGGGGAAGUAACGUCCGGAAACGGACGCUAAUACCGCAUAAUGCAGCGGCAUCGCAAGAUGACAGUUGUUAAAGGAGCAAUUCGCUUGAAGAGGAGCUUGCGGCAGAUUAGCUAGUUGGUAAGGUAAUGGCUUACCAAGGCUACGAUCUGUAACCGGUCUUAGAGGACGGUCGGUCACACUGACACUGAAUAACGGGUCAG
rnacentral:rRNA from 1 species